UACGAAGGGUGCAAGCGUUACUCGGAAUUACUGGGCGUAAAGCGUGCGUAGGUGGUUUGUUAAGUCUGAUGUGAAAGCCCUGGGCUCAACCUGGGAAUGGCAUUGGAAACUGGCUUACUAGAGUGCGGUAGAGGGUAGCGGAAUUCCCGGUGUAGCAGUGAAAUGCGUAGAGAUCCGGAAGAACACCGGUGGCGAAGGCGGCCCGCUGGGCAGAGACUGACGCUGAGGCGCGACAGCGUGGGGAGCAAACAGG
rnacentral:rRNA from 1 species